CAUACAUACAGAUACAUCUGAUACAACGGUAGCUACGCCCCUGGUCUGACGUAACCAUUGCCUAGAUAUAGCAGAGCACUUUAAGAAUAUGGUCUACAAUGUUUUACUCCGUUAUGAUACUGAGUAUUUUUAGAAGCAUUUCAUUUUAUAUUCUACUGAUUAACGUUAUAAAAACCGUCCCAAUGCCUCUUCAAAAUUAAAACAAAACAAUAAUCUUGGGGUCCGACGCCUGAAUUAUGUUCUGUCUGUAAUUAAUUCGGUAAGUAUCCGAUUACUGCUCGAUUUAGGUACGAAUACAAACAGAUUUAUUUCGACAGCUAUUUCAUUUCUGAAACUUGCUACCUCCGAAAGUAACAUAGGCCAAACUACAGAACAUAUUAAAAGCUAAAGCUGACGCUUUCAUCCGAUCUGGCGAUUGGGGAAUGAUUUCUCAUACCUGGUAAGAAAUGUAAAAAAAAACAUUUAAAUAAUAGGUACCUACGUAAAAACACCUGACAAUUGAAGAUCCGGAUUCUUGAAAUAGUCCGUGCUAAUCGGACAUGUCCAGCUAUUUUAAAGAAGGGUUUUUUUUUCUCCUUUUAAUCCAAUAUUGUUUAUAUUCAAUACUAAAGUAUAACCCACCCAGUACCCACCGGUACACGUUGCUCGCGACACGGCAUUUCACGUAGUUUAUAGGACAGGUCUAAGAGUCCUUCCUCUCCGACCGCAUUGUGUUAAAAGAUCAUAUCCACAUAAAUAAGUCUCGAUAGAGUUGUACGCAAAAAGAGAAUGGUUCCAACUGGAACGGGAACUACGCCAGGAAACUGCGGAGCGUCUGCUUGUGCUAGAUUAAGACACGGGCAUAUUUAUCUGUGACACGGACAAAAUGUUUUGAAACAAAAAGUAUUUAGUGUGUCUUCGAGUACCUCGAGGCGUCGAAACAACGCCGCCGUGUUUCAUGUAUGCCUUAUAAAUAUAUAAUUAUGAAAAAAAUACGCAUCGCCAAAUUCAGACGGCCAUCUGGCACUGAGGUGUAAAAGUAACAAGUGCUUAAGAGAACCGCCUGACAACUGUGAAACUGAAAGUAACCCAUUGUCUUUAAAUGCGCAAAUAAAUCUUGUUGCGUUGA